UACGAAGGGGGCUAGCGUUGCUCGGAAUUACUGGGCGUAAAGGGAGCGUAGGCGGACUGUUAAGUUAGAGGUGAAAGCCCAGGGCUCAACCUUGGAAUUGCCUUUGAUACUGGCAGUCUUGAGUACGGAAGAGGUAUGUGGAACUCCGAGUGUAGAGGUGAAAUUCGUAGAUAUUCGGAGGAACACCAGUGGCGAAGGCGACAUACUGGUCCGUUACUGACGCUGAGGCUCGAAAGCGUGGGGAGCAAACAGGG
rnacentral:rRNA from 1 species